rnacentral:lncRNA from 1 species
UCGCUCGGCUUGGCCUUUGAUUUGGAUUUGGAUUUGGAAAAUGAUCGAUCGAUCAGAUCUAUCUUUUUGGACAAAAUUUAUUUGACAGAAAUUUAAUCCGAAGGGAAAAUAUAAAUGCAAUAAAUUUUUUCUGUGUUUUGAUCCUCCAGUUAUAUGCAUGCAUGCAGUGUUUCGAACUGAUUCUUCAAAAGGAUGCAUUGUUUCUUACUGAAGCUUAAGAAGGAUGCACUGUUUCAAACUGAUGCUUCGGAACACUAAUUCAUGAAAUGGUCUGCCUGUUCGGAAAAGAUGCAAUCUUUGGACGAACAGACAUGAUUUUUCAGGAAAGGUCACACUUUUUAAGUGAACCAUUGCCACUUUUUAGAAGAGGCAUAAGAAGGCUAUAUAAACCUGCUUUCAUCCACAGGUUUAGACACAAAUUUUUCUGAAUUACAAACUCUCUUCUUGUCUUCAAAACAUUAUGUGUGAUCAAUCAAACUGUUGAGUGAGUUCAUUGAAUCCAACAAUUUGAGGUGCCGCUAUUGUUUGGAUUGAAGGCCAUUUUAUCCUUGGAGGAAGAUUCCAUAACCUCGGUUACAGUGAGGGGAAUUAUUUCUUAAGGAAACUCCGUGAAGUCGGGGGACUUGGUCUUACAAAUUCUAUUUCAUCUAUUUCCUGAAAAUAAACACACUUCUUAGAUAGAUUAUUCAUAAUCUA